rnacentral:sRNA from 1 species
GAGGGGCGGGAGCCCGCGGGGGCCGCGCCCUUCUCUCGCUUCGGACUGCGCAACGCUGCGCUCUGUGCUGACAGGCGGAUAAAACGGUCCCAUCAAGGCUGAGAAAAAGCACACCAGAUAUUGGCACAGCGUGGGCAGUGGGGCCUACAGGAUGACUUAGUCUACAGAGAUCCCGGCGUACUUAAGCAGGUAGUAAUGAUGGACAGGUGAGGCUUUAGGCGGCCGCCCUGGGAUCUGAAUUGCCCCUUGGCCCUUAUCGAAGCUGCAGCUGCUUCCGCAUAGCUGCUGUGGUCAAAAAGGAGCCCAGAGUGACAGUUUUCCUUGACGGUCGCCGUUCUGUUUGUUGUAACUGAUCUGCAACAUUUUGGGAAAAUACAGUUCUAUUGUACCUGCCAUCUUUCAGCUGUAGCCAGAGACCUUUAUCAAAAUGGGCUUGUUUCCACAGAACAGCAGAACGGUUGGGGGUUUGCAUAUACAGUUAACCAGCAUAAGACUCGUACUGGGAAAAUCCAGCUGGGAUGUGACACAGCUUAACUGAUAGCUUAAGGCAUCAGUACUGGGACCAAAGGCUGGUCAGAUUUGUAUCAUUCUGAGGACCAACUGAUGGGAACAAUAAAAUUGUUCAUGACAGUUGUUCUCAUUUUGCUGUCCAGAUGAAGACUCUUAAGAUGACAGAAGGUGAUUUUUCUGGUGAUCGAGGAGUUCCGGGGUCAUGACAGUGAUGAAAUGCAGGGGACCUGGUAGGUUUCUUUUGGAGACUGACUGGGGGCUGCCUGGUGGGACAGAACAGCAUGUUUCCAAGGGCUGUGGCUGGUCAUAGCCAUGGGAUCUCCAACUGCAUGCAAGAGCAACCUGGAAAGACUUUGACAGCGCAGGUCAGUACAAUACCUGCAAGCUGCCACUCAGCUUUCCUAUAAUGUUUCAGGACCAGGGCUGGAAGCCUUCCAUGUGUCAACUUCAAUGUAGAUGGGUUUUUUUUUUUUUUUUUUUUUUUUUUUUUUGAGACGGAGUCUUGCUCUGUCACCCAGGCUGCUGGAGUGCAGUGGCAUGAUCUCGGCUCACGGCAACCUCUGCCUCCCGGGUUCAAGCGACUCUCCUGCCUCAUCCUCCCGAGUAGCUGGGAUUACAGGUGCCCACCAUCACACCCAGCUAAUUUUCUUGUAUUUUUAGUAGAGAUGGUUUUCACCAUGUUGGCUAGAUGGGUCUCGAACUUCUGACCUCAGGUGAUCCGCCCGACUCGGCCUCCCCUUCCAAGGUGCUGGGAUUACAGGCAUGAGCCACCGCUCCUGGCCAGUUUAGUUUUCACACUAAGCUUUUUGUUCUGCAGGUUGCCCCCAAGUUUCCUGGCAGUGUGUGAUACUGAGGAGGUGAGCUUGUUUCUGGAGCUGUGCUUUAAGAUUCAUGUUACAUGUAAAGCUGUCCUCAUUUGUGACUAUGGACCUAUGGAGUUGGGACAAUCUCUAUGGGAAGCAGAAGGCAAGGACCCCAGUCAUUUUAGGUAGAAACAACAGCAUGCUAAUGCAAAAAAUUAUGCAGUGUGCUACUGAACUUCAGAGGUGAUCAAUAAAAGAAUAAAAAGACUAAUAAAAG